rnacentral:rRNA from 1 species
CAGUCGCCGCGGGAAUACGUAGGUCCCGAGCGUUGUCCGGAUUUAUUGGGCGUAAAGCGAGCGCAGGCGGUUUGAUAAGUCUGAAGUUAAAGGCUGUGGCUCAACCAUAGUUCGCUUUGGAAACUGUCAAACUUGAGUGCAGAAGGGGAGAGUGGAAUUCCAUGUGUAGCGGUGAAAUGCGUAGAUAUAUGGAGGAACACCGGUGGCGAAAGCGGCUCUCUGGUCUGUAACUGACGCUGAGGCUCGAAAGCGUGGGGAGCGAACAGGAUUAGAUACCCCCGUAGUCCCUGUCUCUUAUACC